GUCCUGGUUGCCAAUCAGGGACAGGUGAGGAAGCCAGUGCCCAGACUGAAGAAUAGUGGAAGACAGAAGCAGGCACCAAAUUAUCUGCUGGAGCUCGGCUGCCUGAAACCUGAUUGGUGGAUAGCGCCCCCUCGUGGCGUGACGUGAUUGGUGCUCACAGAAACUUUCAUGAAGAUUUACUGCGUUAAGAUCUGGUGAAGCUAACUGGAACUCAAAGGGGGUACAACAGAGGGGUGGGGCUAAAAGGCAAUAUCGACAACGCUGUGGAUACUUCCUGAACGUUUCAAACCACUCAUCACUUGUCCAUUGCUUUCUUUUGGUCUCUUUUGGUUGUAAAAACACUUUUAAAAAGCCCACAACGUAGCACGGUAGCUAACUGAGCAUGUGGUGUGCUGUCAGGCACAAAAUGGCUGCCCUGCAGGCACAAAAUGGCUGCCCUGCAGGCACAAAAUGGCUGCUGGAUCUGCGAGUCGCUAAAGUGCACUGCAAAAAGUGAAAUCUAAGUAAGAUUAAAUAUCUCAAAUAAGGGUGAU